UCNCAAAUAUAGAGAAGGAUGCUUGCAACC
rnacentral:piRNA from 1 species